rnacentral:rRNA from 1 species
AAAUUGAAGAGUUUGAUCAUGGCUCAGAUUGAACGCUGGCGGCAGGCCUAACACAUGCAAGUCGAACGGUAACAGGAAGCAGCUUGCUGCUUUGCUGACGAGUGGCGGACGGGUGAGUAAUGUCUGGGAAACUGCCCGAUGGAGGGGGAUAACUACUGGAAACGGUAGCUAAUACCGCAUAA